rnacentral:sRNA from 17 species
CUACUGGUGGGGAGUUUUACCGUUGUGUCCCCUUGCUGCAUCUAGAAGGAGAGCGAUGUCACAGAUGCAGACAGUAU